UACGGGGGGAGCAAGCGUUGUUCGGAUUUACUGGGCGUAAAGGGCGCGUAGGCGGCCACCGCAAGUCGACUGUGAAAUCUCCGGGCUUAACCCGGAAAGGUCAGCCGAUGCUGCGGGGCUAGAGUGCAGAAGGGGCAACUGGAAUUCUCGGUGUAGCGGUGAAAUGCGUAGAUAUCGAGAGGAACACCUGCGGCGAAGGCGGGUUGCUGGGCUGACACUGACGCUGAUGCGCGAAAGCUAGGGGAGCGAACGGG
rnacentral:rRNA from 1 species